CAGUCGCGUUUGCUGGGACUCAACCUUGCUUUUGCCUGGUGUACUUCUCAGUAAAUGGGCCAGCAUCAAUUUCGGGCGCCGGAAAAGGAUUUGAGGAAUGUGACAGCUUGCUGUGUUAUAGCCUCUUGUCGUACACGGUGCUUGGGAUUGAGGUUUCAGUGCACGCUUCGGUUGUGCUUUGAUGCUGGCGUAAUGGCUUUAAGCGACCCGUCUUGAAACCGGACCAAGGAGUCUAACAUAUAUGCG
rnacentral:rRNA from 1 species